GAUAGGUACUCCCUUACCACUAUCCUAAUAACUGUAUUUACAAGAUCAGGUUUCUAACAGAGAAAAGGAAGUUUAUCAGGUGUUGAUAGUACAGUAGGUUUUUACUGGGAGGUACUGGAUUUCAGUAUUCUCUUUUAUGCCUGUGUUAUCUUGUACAGAUACCAAAUGGCAAUUUAUUUUUUUUUGCUGACAUUUUACUGAAGACCUACUGAAAGAGUAAACAGUUGAGGGGAAAAAUCACUGCCUAGAGAAAGCAGGUGGAAAAAAAGCUCUCUCAGGCUGAAGGGCUAUAAAAAAAGCCUUGAAAAUAAUUCUUGCAACUGAAGGUUUUUCCUGAUAUUUAAAAAAUGUAAGCUACUGCAGUUUUAUGCCAGAGCUCAUCUUCUGAUCCCAGUCUUCUGUUCUUUCACUUGUUUAGUCUUUGAUGUUGUUGUUUCUUUAAAACCUGAGAUCUGCGGCCUUCUCAUAUCUCAGGGUCUUAUGAGAUCAAACUUCAGGGGGUAUUUUCUUGAACUAUAUGGAGAUCUCUCUAGCCUGACAAGGACAGCUUAAAAAAGCCCUGAAAUGCAAAGGCAGCGUUGAGGUUUCCAGCAGAUAAACUUUAAAACUCUGGUUUUGUUUUGUUCUGCUACUUCACUUUACAAUGGCAAAAUGCCUAGGAUCUUCUUUCACUAAGUGUGCAAGUAAAGCUCACUUGGCGUUUGCAAGCUCUCCUAAAUUUUAAACUCUGUUCAUUGGCUGCUAGAUACCUUACCAGGGCAAUGAACUGAAACAGAGUGAAACUGCAAAUGCAGGCCCAAGAGGGAAGCAUUUAUCCCAUCACAACAGCCCUUUGUUUUUGGUGCAUUUGAAUAGGCUGACGGUUAAAUGUUUGGCUACAACUAGCCAUGGACACCUGACUUUCUCAAGGACAAAACAUGGCUGUAAAAUGAAAAGCUGCAUGCCCAGCUCUACUGCUUGGUGUGGAUCACCUCAAGCUGCUGAAAACCCCUUCGCAGCAGCUCCCCUGCUCUGAUCAUAGGACGGAGUGUCUUAUGGCUAUUCUAAGGAAAGAAUCAUAAAGUUUUCAACAAGUAUUAUUAGAUAAGCUUGAUAAUAUCUGCCUGAAAGAGUUUACUUGGAAGAAGUACAAUGAGGAGACUGAAAAACAGAAAACUACACAGCCCGCUUAUGGUCACUGAAAAAACAGGGAAUGAUUACCAUAAAGCUGAACAGGGAAAGCCAGUAAGUAUGCAGGGUGUGCAACUUUCCUACUUCUAUCCUUAAUUCUUAUUUUGCGAACACAAAAGUGGUUUCUGGAAGGCUUGAGAUCCCCUCUGUCUCCACAA
rnacentral:lncRNA from 1 species